rnacentral:rRNA from 1 species
GACGGAGGGUGCAAGCGUUGUUCGGAAUUACUGGGCGUAAAGGGCGCGUAGGCGGUCUGUUAAGUUCGGUGUGAAAGCCCCCGGCUCACCUGGGGAACUGCGUCGGAAACCGACAGACUCGAGUACCGGAGAGGAGGGUGGAAUUCCUGGUGUAGCGGUGAAAUGCGUAGAUAUCAGGAGGAACACCAAUAGCGAAGGCAGCUCGCUGGGACGGUACUGACGCUAAGGCGCGAAAGCGUGGGGAGCGAACAGG